rnacentral:tRNA from 1 species
CGGGGUGUAGCUCAGUUGGCUAGAGUGCUGCUUUCGGGUAGCAGAGGUCGGCAGUUCAAGUCUGCCCACCCCGACCA